AGCGAACGCUGGCGGCAGGCUUAACACAUGCAAGUCGAGCGGGCACUUUCGGCUGUCAGCGGCUGACGGGUGAGUAACGCGUGGGAACGUGCCCUCUUGUUCGGAAUAACUCAGGGAAACUUGAGCUAAUACCGGAUACGCCCUCUUGGGAGAAGGCUUGCCGCCGGAGGAUCGGCCCGCGUCUGAUUAGCUAGUUGGUUGGGUAACCGCACACCAAGGCGACGAUCAGUAUCUGGUCUGAGAGGGUGAUUAGCCACACUGGGACUGAGACACGGACCCGACUCGGACGGGAGGGAGCAGUGGGGAAUAUUGGGGGAGGAGCGCAAGCCUGGUCCAGCCGUGCCGGGGGAGUGAUGAAGGCCUUAGGGUUGUAAAGCUCUUUUAUCCGAGACGAUAAUGACGGUACCGGAGGAAUAAGCCCCGGCUAACUUCGUG
rnacentral:rRNA from 1 species